rnacentral:tRNA from 1 species
UUCAGUAUGGCAGAUUAGUGCAAUGAACUUAAGAUUCGUAUAUAAAAAAAUUUUUGCUGAAA